ACUCCAACUAGUCGAUCUGUGAAUUAGUUACUCGGCAAUAUAACAUAUCCAUUGCUAUCGAUCAUUGAAAUUUGAGCUUGCCAGUUACAAUUUGUGUUUUAAUUCCCCGUUUGAUUGAUUUAUCCUCUAAACUUCAUCUUCUCACAAUUCAAAUCAUUAAAAUCAAUCGAGGUUGUUAGUCUUUUAACCUUUCAUUUAUACCUGCUGAUUGGCAACAAAGCAAAACAUAUUUCAAUAUUAAUUAAAAAGGUUAAAUCAAUUUGAUUUCAAUGGACAGUGUCUAGCAAUUCAUGACUUGAAUUUCCUAUUACCUAGUAAUUCAAUUGUAGUCUAAAGUCACCAAAAAUUGAUGUCGGUGAAAUUCAAAGAUUUUCAGAUUGAAAUAGAGAGUGAAAAUAACGAUCAAAGUUGACUAGAGUCUAUUUUGAUUCAUGUGAUGCUUCGUGAUUAACGCUCACACAAUUUAAUGAUCAACGGGAACAUUAAAUUUUGUUUUUUUUCUCUCAAUAAUGAAUCAAAAAUGAAUACAAUCAACUUUCUCACAUUCUAAUUUUCAUUCUUGUUUUCCUCUGAAGUGAAUAGCUAAUUGUAAUGGAGGUAAGAUGAGGAAAUAAAUGCGUAGGUAACAAUUUACUGAUUCUUUACCAAGUUGCUCUUUACUUCACACAGUGAGUGAUUAAUUUGCAAUUUAGUCCAUUAGAUUGUUGUCAAUGUUGACCAUCUUUGGACUAAUAAGGAUAAAUUGGAGAAUUUUUAGCUUACCAAAGCGCCCUGUUGAUAUUCAUUAACAUCUUCAUUUUUAGGUAGAUUGACUUAUUUAUGAAUGAACAUCACCACUUCUAUUGUUAUAUAUGUAUUUUACCAUUGACAAUUGAGAUUGAAAAUUGAGAGCAAAAGCAAGAUUAAUCAUUAACUACACUCACUCAAAAUUGACUUGAAAUAAUUAACAAAUAACAAUUAUUCUCUUCACUGGUUCGCCCAAAGGAAAUCAUUGUUCAUCGCUUUAUUCAGGUCAAUAUGAUUAUUUUUAUAGCAAUGCCUUUGUUUGUGUUUUACCAAAUUAAGGCUUAUUAUCUCAUCCUUAGAUAAUAAAUCCGAUUUAAUGAUAAGUAACAAUCAAAAUGGUUAUUCCAAUUGAAGUAACAACAGCAAACCUUACACUUUUUGAUUCACCCAUUUACUCCACUCUAAUAGUAACCUUUACCUUGGUCUCUUGUUUGUAACAUAUGUGCUUUAUAUGAAUAUAUUGCUUCGAAAUCUGAGCUCGUCGACUUUUAUUGUCGUUAUUGUAUUAUUUAUGCCUUUAAUUUGACCUCAGUUAAUUGUAAUUAGUUCAAAAUGGCUAUUUCUUGUUUAGUUAUCAGCUUUCAUAUUUCCCUCCAUUGGUUGUAAAAUCAUUCUCACUUUAGGCUCACUCUCUCUCUCAUAGCUUAAGUUUCUCAAUUUGAAACUUGUUUUGCGUGUUGUUUUUUUAAUUGUUGUUCAAUAUUAUCUAAUGAUUAAUAAACAAUUAUAAUUUUUUAUUAUCUUAUCUAUUUAAUUGUUACGAAAUGGACACAAUAAAUGUCGAUCGCAAGUUGCUGAUAAAGCCCAGAUAAAAGGAGAGUAAAGUUGUUUUGAUAUUGAGGUCAGUCCAGAGAAGCCAUCUUAUGAUUGUCAUUUGAAAAUGAGAUUUUAUCUGGUGUUUUUAUAAACUGAGGAUUCAGGUUUCUAAUAACCUGGGUUUGCAAUCAUUCAUCCAUUCAUCUCCUCACUGGCAUCAUUACUUGUUUAAAAAUAUUACCUGUUGAACCACAUCUUUAAAUCUAUUGACCCAUCAAUAGACAGUGAACAAAAAAAAGCCUUAACAUAUGACAUUGCAACAACAUGACUACCUGUUACUCUGAUUUGGUGAAAGCAACAAAAAAAGGUAUCGGACCAUGUCAAUGGUAUUGGUUGUAUUUAUAACAUUAAUAUGGUUCAUUCGGUGCAAACUUGGAUUCCUUCUCCAUUCAGAUUAUUAGUUAACCAUCAUUUCUGUCUUUCAUCUUAUCCUAUUCAUUGCAUCAGCUUCUCGUCUAUGAUGACAUUCAUGAUGAUCUCUCUCUCACUCUUUCUCUCCCUCUCAUUUUUAUUACAUCUAUCUUUAGGCUUUAAAGCUUGAUAAUAGUUGAGUGAUGAUGGUGAUGGAGCAUUCGUCUUGAGUGUCUAAUAUACGUGCUGUGUGAGUGAACAUUAACUUUCUUACUCCGCUCACUCAUACAUCUGAAUCUAUGUUUUUAGGUCGAGUUAACGGACUGUUGAAACUUGAUUUAAUACAUAAAAGUGCAUAAACAACGAUCUCGUUUGGCCCGUUAUUUUAUCUCUUUUCUCAUUCAACUUUACUCACUAAUACCUGUUUCUCAAACUCUUUCACCUCUUUCUUCUUCAAAUUUUUUUUCUUCUUCUUCGUCUUCUGCUUACUCAUUCACUUGUUUACUCAUUUCUCUCAGCUCUCAGGUGAUUAAGGAUGUUGAGUGAGUGUUUGUGUGAGUGUAUGUGUUAAGAGCGAGUUAGGGAAAGAGUACAAGUAAGAGUUGAGUUGAAAAAAAAUGGAUAAGAAAGAAGUAGAAAUAAUUUUUAGGAAUAUUGCCAUAAUAAUUGAGACAAUCAUCUUAACGGCAAUAUACGGUAAUAUUAUGCAGCAAAGUGAGAAGAAAAGGUUUUAAAUUGAACCUUGAUUCCAUGUAACGAGUUCAGUUGAAACAGGAUUCCGAUGAAUAUGUAUAUACACCAAAAAAAUAGGUUUUUUUGGCCUAAAAUAAUAUAUUUCAUGUUGACAAACCAAGAAAAAAGGUAAAGGUAAAUAUGAAGAUUAAAGAUGGCCAAAUGGUGACGAUUGGAAACAUAAUCUGGGCAAAAUUUGGGAAAUCUCGAUGAGGUCAAAGAUCAUGGAGAUUGGGUCAAUCUUCUCGUAUUCUUGCAUUAUUAUUAUCAUCUCCAUCUAUCCCCUGUAACGUCAACCUCAUUGGGUCAGGUCAUUAAGAUUAGCUGACCAUUUUCAUCUCUAAUUGUUUGUCUGAAUGUUUUUUUUGUGUUUCCGACCAUUUGCCAUCUCAUUUGAGCGCACUUCUAAUUUUACACCAAUUUAUCUGCAUUAAUUUAUAUAACUUGACAGUUUCCAUCCAUUACAAUGUAUUGUGACAAUUUGUGGCCUGGCUUUGUUUGGAUAAAAUCUUUUUAUGUGCUAUUCCGUGCGUUUAACUUGCACCAAGGGGACCAAUCAUGGCUUUACCGAUUCACUGAAAAUGGGAAAAGAAAACGAAGAAAAAUGAAUUUCUUGAAAAGUUUCAAGCGAGUAAAGUGAAGAUAAAAAAACCUAAAUUGGCAAAAAAAAGUCAAGCUUUUUUGAUUGUUAUUUCGUACAAUAUAAAAAAGAAAAUUGUUAUUAUUACUAUUAUUUUCAUUGUAAACGAAAAGCAUAAAGAAAAUUAAGGUUUGUUCUAAAAUAUUAAUGCUUUUAUGUUGUCAACGACCUACGUUCUGUUCAGGGAAUUUGCUUGUUCGCGAUUUAAUCUGGUAAUACAGGAUUUCGUACUAUAACUAAUAACUUUGCAACGUAACUACACGAAACAAUUUCCCAUUUUUUUAACUUUAAUUUCCUCUCCUUCUCUCUCUCUCUCUUUCAAUCUCUGCUUAUUCACCUGCUUAAUAUUAGUGUUUUUUUUUGUUUUUGGGUCACAAUUAGCCAAAGGCGGGUUUAGAAA